rnacentral:rRNA from 1 species
UGGUGGAGUGAUUUGUCUGCUUAAUUGCGUUAACGAACGAGACCUCGACCUACUAAAUAGUUGACCUUAUUUCUUUGGAGAUAAGAGUCUAACUUCUUAGAGGGACUAUCGGUUCUUAGCCGAUGGAAGUUCGAGGCAAUAACA